GCAGAGAAAAGACAUCAAAACUUCCUACUCUUCUCUACCCUGAAUUCUGGUGUAUCCCCAGGCAGAAGCAGUGAAUCCUGAGGUGAGGGACUGGGCUUAGGUUGAGGCUUGGGUUGAGUGAGGUUUCUGAGCAAGUCACGAGUGGGGGUGGUGGCUGGAGGAGGGGUUGGGUAGGCACUAGGGGUGGGAGUAGGGACUAGGGUAAACACCUAAAAAUCAGCUAUGCUCCCUUAUAUCCUCUCCCCUCCCCCCAACUCUACUUUUCUCUUCUGCUUUUGACAGCAGCCAGGCACGGGAUCCAGUUACCAAAUCAGCGUUUUUGCAGAGGUCUCGUGGGUCAGAGGUGGCUGACUUCCUGAUUUGGCUGAGAAGGGCGGGGAUUCCUGGAGGUGUGGAAGGAGAGGACCCCUCCAGAGGUAAGUGGAGCUUCCCGAGUGGGUGGGACCUGCUCAGGCGUAGGAUUUUAUGACUGUGGGGGAUGGACCUCCAGAGGGAAGGUGGGGCCUUCCUGGAUGGUGGGUGGGGCUUUCUGAGCGUAAAGUUGAGCUUCCUAAAAGAUAGGUGGGACUUCUUCGAUUAAAAUGGGUAGCUUCGGACUUCUGGAAUGUAUUCGCAAGUGGAAUUUGGGCUUUGUGUGCGGGGGAAGAGGGAGUUCCUAAGUUGAGUAGGUAAGGCACGGAGUUUCCCGGUUUGGGUUUGAAACAUGAGGCAUUUAAAGUGACAGUGAGUGCUUGUAGUAGGUCUUAAGGUUGCUCGGUGAG